rnacentral:sRNA from 1 species
AAGAUUCGAACCUGCAGCAGGUUCGAGUUGAGCGCAGCGAAACAACGGAGCCGCUCGCGGCGACGGCCCGAAGGGCGAGCGAAGCGAGUCAUCCU